rfam:Triticum urartu cultivar G1812 contig997309, whole genome shotgun sequence.
AUUCUACUCCCUCCGUUGCACAAUACAUGCCUUCUAUUUGUAAAAAUAUAUAUGUAUCUAGACCUGUCUUAGUAUAUAGGUACAUCCAUUUUUGGACAAAUGGAAGUCAAGUAUUUUGGAUCGGAGGGAGUACAUA